GGGGGCGUAGUCCAAUUGGCAGAGACACACCACUUAAAAUGGUGUCAGUGUGGGUUCGAAUCCCACCGCCCCCA
rnacentral:tRNA from 1 species